GAUGAACGCUGGCGGCGUGCCUAAUACAUGCAAGUCGAGCGAACGGACGAGAAGCUUGCUGCUCUGAUGUUAGCGGCGGACGGGUGAGUAACACGUGGAUAACCCACCUAUAAGACUGGGAUAACUUCGGGAAACCGGAGCUAAUACCGGAUAAUAUUUUGAACCGCAUGGUUCAAAAGUGAAAGACGGUCUUGCUGUCACUUAUAGAUGGAUCCGCGCUGCAUUAGCUAGUUGGUAAGGUAACGGCUUACCAAGGCAACGAUGCAUAGCCGAACUGAGAGAGUGAUCGGCCACACUGGAACGGGGACACGGUCCAGACUCCUGCGGGAGGGAGCAGUAGGGAAUCGUCCGCAGUGGGCGAAAACCUGGCGGAGCAACGCCGCGUGAGUUAUGAAGGUCUUCGGAUCGUAAAACUCGGUUAUUAGGGAAGAACAUAUGUGUAAGGAAAUGUGCACAGCUUGACGGUAACUAAUCAGAAAGCCACGGCUAACUACGUG
rnacentral:rRNA from 1 species